rnacentral:rRNA from 1 species
AACGAACGCUGGCGGCAGGCUUAACACAUGCAAGUCGAACGCCCCGCAAGGGGAGUGGCAGACGGGUGAGUAACGCGUGGGAAUCUACCCAUCCCUACGGAACAACUCCGGGAAACUGGAGCUAAUACCGUAUACGCCCUGAGGGGGAAAGAUGUAUCGGGGAUGGAUGAGCCCGCGUUGGAUUAGCUAGUUGGUGGGGUAAAGGCCUACCAAGGCGACGAUCCAUAGCUGGUCUGAGAGGAUGAUCAGCCACAUUGGGACUGAGACACGGCCCGAGCUCCUACGGGAGGCAGCAGGGGGGAAUAUUGGACAAUGGGAACAAGCCUGAUCCAGCCAUGCCGCGUGAGUGAUGAAGGUCUUAGGAUUGUAAAGCUCUUUCACCGGUGAAGAUAAUGACGGUAACCGGAGAAGAAGACCCGGCUAACUUCGUGCCAGCCGCCGCGGUAAUAC